rnacentral:misc_RNA from 1 species
GAUGAAGAACGCAGCGAAAUGCGAUAAGUAAUGCGAAUUGCAGAAUUUCCGUGAGUCAUCGAAUCUUUGAACGCACAUUGCGCCCACUGGUAUUCCGGUGGGCAUGCCUGUUCGAGCGUCAUUAUCCUCCCUCAAAACUCCUGUUUUGGUGUUGUGCCGCGUUGGUCACCUCCGACCAACGGGCCUCAAAGACAAUGACGGCGUCCGUGGGACCCUCUUCGCAGUGAGCUUUUGUUAGCGCGCGUUGAGUUUAAAGGACCCUCCGGGUCGGCCACCUUUAUCUAUUUUACAAGGUUGACCUCGGAUCAGGUAGGAAUACCCGCUGAACUUAAGCAUAUCAAUAAGCGGAGGA